UACGGGGGGGGCAAGCGUUGUUCGGAAUUACUGGGCGUAAAGGGCUCGUAGGUGGCCAACUAAGUCAGACGUGAAAUCCCCAGGCUCAACUUGGGAACUGCGUCUGAUACUGGAUGGCUUGAAUCCGGGAGAGGGAUGCAGAAUUCCAGGUGUAGCGGUGAAAUGCGUAGAUAUCUGGAGGAAUACCGGUGGCGAAGGCGGCAUCCUGGACCGGGAUUGACACUGAGGAGCGAAAGCUAGGGGAGCAAACGGG
rnacentral:rRNA from 1 species